UACGGAGGGGGCUAGCGUUGUUCGGAAUUACUGGGCGUAAAGCGCGCGUAGGCGGACCUGCAAGUCGGGGGUGAAAGCCCGAGGCUCAACCUCGGAACUGCCUUCGAUACUGCGGGUCUCGAGUCCGGGAGAGGUGAGUGGAAUUCCUAGUGUAGAGGUGAAAUUCGUAGAUAUUAGGAAGAACACCAGUGGCGAAGGCGGCUCACUGGCGCGGUACUGACGCUGAGGCGCGAAAGCGUGGGGAGCAAACAGG
rnacentral:rRNA from 1 species